CUGAUAAUUGCCCAGAAUGCAAUGGCCCGUAUCGUGGUAAUCGGCCGUUCAACAGGUCUCGCUCCAGAGACGGAAGACCAGAACCGAUCAGCAGGAACUGGCGCGACCAAGAUGACCAGCGCCCUCCCAUGCGUGAUCGGCUGGGGGGCAGAAGUGACCGAUAUGACCGGUCAGAAGACAGACGCCGUGACAGACCAGGGGGCAGGUUUGAUCGACACGACCGGCCAGAAAACAGGGCCAACGUUCAUAGUCGGCUCGAAGAGAUGGCCGACGCUCGGGUGACA
rnacentral:lncRNA from 1 species